UACGGGGGGGGCAAGCGUUGUUCGGAAUUACUGGGCGUAAAGGGCUCGUAGGUGGCCAACUAAGUCGGACGUGAAAUCCCCCGGCUUAACCUGGGAACUGCGUCUGAUACUGGAAGGCUUGAGUAUGGGAGAGGGAUGUAGAAUUCCAGGUGUAGCGGUGAAAUGCGUAGAUAUCUGGAGGAAUACCGGUGGCGAAGGCGGCUGCCUGGCCUGUUCUUGACGCUGAGGCGCGAAAGCUGGGGGAGCAAACGGG
rnacentral:rRNA from 1 species